rnacentral:lncRNA from 1 species
ACUGAAGAAACCCGCCGGCUGCUGGGGCAGGGCGGCGAAAGGUCAGUCGGCCGAGAGGAGUCCGUGGAGCCACCGUUUCAUAGCCUCAGGGAAAGGAUCGGGCGUGCUCACGAGCCCUCUAACCCAUGGCUUAAACACCCGCUUCCUAAGCCUGGGUUCUUAUGCCUUUGUUUGAAAAACAUGGUUCCCUGUGAAAUUUUACAUGUAGAAGAAAGCUUCACACUACGAGAGCUCUCAGGAUAUAAUUAUUUCAGACAGAUACUGGGAACAUAAGAUGGCUUAUCAAUCUAAGAUGGCCUUCCUGUCCUUCGGAUUGAACUGAAACCAUCCCUGAUUCCAGGGAUAGGUAGAUGAUCCAGGUUUGGACAAUCAAAAUAUUGAACCACCCUGGACCUACAAGUGUUUCUGGGAUGGGAACAUGCAAACGUUGGUCCAAAUUGUUGUUCUAGGCAGCCCAGUACAUUUCUCCAAUGCCUGAUGGAAUGAUAGGGUAUGCAUAAAUGUUCAUGUGGGCUCUGGAGUAUACCAGGAACUGAAGUAAGGUACAUGGACGUCUUGAAUAUUGUAACUGAGAUGGGCAAGCCUACACCUUUGCAAAUAAAGGAGGAUUGGGAAAGAUUAAGCCUCUCAAGCACUGUGAAAAAUCACUUUCUCUUGUUGUAUUCUUGGAGCCCCUGCUAAUUCAUUAUUGAAAAAUACCUGCUGCCUGCAUUUGGCCUUAUGUUGUCAUUUACUUGGUACUUCCUAAGCGUGGCUACUCCAAUGAAGCUUUAGUAUAUGUACUGAAAGAAGAUCCUCUCAUACUGCCACAGCCAAGAGAUAAGGUUGUAAAUCUUUAUUGGGAGAAGCCGUCAAGGACAGUUCUGUGAAAUGAAAGGAUCUCUGGAUCACCACAAAGUCUGGCUCAGUGACUAUGGCUUUGCAAACACUAAACAUUCCUGUCUCAAGUCCUGUAGAUGGCUUGAAAUAGUAUACAUAAGCAUGCCUUAUAAACAUCUUCAGUCUUUAUCAACUCUUUGGAGAUUCAGCCAUUCUUUUUUGUACUUUAGGGAAUUAA